GAUGAACGCUGGCGGCGUGCCUAAUACAUGCAAGUCGAGCGAACGGACGAGAAGCUUGCUUCUCUGAUGUUAGCGGCGGACGGGUGAGUAACACGUGGAUAACCUACCUAUAAGACUGGGAUAACUUCGGGAAACCGGAGCUAAUACCGGAUAAUAUUAUGAACCGCAUGGUUCAAAAGUGAAAUACGGUCUUUCGGUCACUUAUAGAUGGAUCCGCGCUGCAUUAGCUAGUUGGUAAGGUAACGGCUUACCAAGGCAACGAUGCAUAGCCGACGUGAGAGGGUGAUCGGCCACACUGGAACUGGGACAGGGUCCAGGCUCCUACGGGAGGCAGCAGUAGGGAAUCUUCCGCAAUGGGCGAAAGCCUGACGGAGCAAGGCCGCGUGAGUGAUGAAGGUCUUCGGAUCGUAAAACUCUGUUAUUAGGGAAGAACAUAUGUGUAAGUAACUGUGCACAUCUUGACGGUACCUAAUCAGAAAGCCACGGCUAACUACGUG
rnacentral:rRNA from 1 species